UGAGCUGUGGAUAGCGGAGAAAUUCCAAUCGAACUCGGAGAUAGCUGGUUCUCCUCGAAAUAGCUUUAGGGCUAGCGUCGGAUAUGAGUAAUGGAGGUAGAGCACUGAAUGGGCUAGGGGGCAUAUCGCUUACCGAACCUUAUCAAACUCCGAAUGCCAUAUACUAUUAGUCCGGCAGUCAGACUACGAAUGAUAAGAUCCGUGGUCAAAAGGGAAAAAGCCCAGAUCGUCAGCUAAGGUCCCAAAGUGUAAGUUAAGUGGUAAAGGAUGUGGGAUUUCUAAGACAACUAGGAUGUUGGCUUAGAAGCAGCCACUCAUUUAAAGAGUGCGUAAUAGCUCACUAGUCGAGAGAUCCUGCGCCGAAAAUGUCCGGGGCUCAAACUUACCACCGAAGCUACGGGCUCAAGUUUACUUGAGCGGUAGAGGAGCGUCGUAAUCGGGCUGAAGUCGUACCGUAAGGAGCGGUGGACUGAUUACGAGUGAGAAUGUUGGCAUUAGUAGCGAGAUGUAAGUGAGAAUCUUACAGGCCGAAAAUCUAAGGUUUCCUGGGGAAGGCUCGUCCGCCCAGGGUUAGUCGGGACCUAAGCCGAGGCCGAAAGGCGUAGGUGAUGGACAAUUGGUUGAUAUUCCAAUACCACUAUUAUCGUUAUUAUCGAUGGUGUGACGGAGAAGGAUAGGAUGUGCUAGCGAUUGGAAAUGCUAGUCUAAGCAUUUAGGGAGUUAAGAUAGGCAAAUCCGUCUUAACAAUCCUGAGGUGUGAUGGGGAAGGCCAUUAAGGCUGAAGUAUCUGAUUCCCUGCUUCCAAGAAAAGCAUCUAGAGAGAGAAGUAGUGCCCGUACCGCAAACCGACACAGGUAGAUGAGGAGAGAAUCCUAAGGCCAUCGGAAGAAUUGCAGUUAAGGAACUAGGCAAAUUGACCCCGUAAGUUAGCGAGAAGGGGUGCCUGCGAGAGCAGGCCGCAGAGAAUAGGCCCAAGCAACUGUUUAGCAAAAACACAGGUCUCUGCUAAAGCGUAAGCUGAUGUAUAGGGGCUGACGCCUGCCCGGUGCUGGAAGGUUAAGGGGAACACUUAGCGCAAGCGAAGGUGUGAACUUAAGCCCCAGUAAACGGCGGCCGUAACUAUAACGGUCCUAAGGUAGCGAAAUUCCUUGUCAGGUAAGUUCUGACCCGCACGAAUGGCGUAAUGACUUGGGCACUGUCUCAACUGCAAAUCCGGCGAAGUUGUAGUGCGAGUGAAGAUGCUCGCUACCCGCGAUUGGACGGAAAGACCCCGUAGAGCUUUACUGUAGCUUAGCAUUGAGUUUCGAUAUUGUCUGUACAGGAUAGGUGGGAGACUGAGAAGCUAGGGCGUCAGCCUUAGUGGAGUCAACCUUGGGAUACCACCCUGAUAGUAUUGGGAUUCUAACUGGACGCCAUGAAUCUGGUGACAGGACAUUGUUAGGUGGGCAGUUUGACUGGGGCGGUCGCCUCCUAAAAAGUAACGGAGGCGCCCAAAGGUUCCCUCAGAACGGUCGGAAAUCGUUCGUAGAGUGCAAAGGCAGAAGGGAGCCUGACUGCGACACCCACAAGUGGAGCAGGGACGAAAGUCGGGCUUAGUGAUCCGGUGGUACCUCGUGGGAGGGCCAUCGCUCAACGGAUAAAAGCUACCUCGGGGAUAACAGGCUGAUCUCCCCCAAGAGUCCACAUCGACGGGGAGGUUUGGCACCUCGAUGUCGGCUCGUCGCAUCCUGGGGCUGUAGUAGGUCCCAAGGGUUGGGCUGUUCGCCCAUUAAAGCGGCACGCGAGCUGGGUUCAGAACGUCGUGAGACAGUUCGGUCCCUAUCCGUCGCGGGCGUAGGAAAUUUGAGAGGAGCUGUCCUUAGUACGAGAGGACCGGGAUGGACUGACCUCUGGUGCACCAGUUGUUCCGCCAGGAGCAUGGCUGGGUAGCUAAGUCGGGAAGGGAUAAACGCUGAAGGCAUCUAAGCGUGAAGCCCCCCUCAAGAUGAGAUUUCCCAUAGCAUAAGCUAGUAAGACCCCUUGA
rnacentral:rRNA from 1 species